GGAAGCGUGUGGGAUGACACAACUAAGCAUCGAUCGUUAUGUAGAUCACUAUGUGGCAGAUCUGUUCAGUUAGUGUUAUCAUAUGUCGUCUUGAGCUUUUCAGAUCAUCCGAUAAGCUUCUUGAUUUCAGAUUCCCGAUUGCGCAUGCAACUUCGUUUUAAGAUCACGAAUUUGCACGCCUGCACGGUCGAAUCUUCAUUCCUCAUAGUACCGCGAUUUCCAAAUUUGGGGGGUAAUCGAUUUGGUCAGAGGUAAUUUAUCGCUUCCACAUGCAGGCACUGCUGAUGGCGGUACGCCAUCUUUUUUUG
rnacentral:snRNA from 1 species